rnacentral:rRNA from 1 species
UACGUAGGGUGCGAGCGUUAAUCGGAAUUACUGGGCGUAAAGGGUGCGCAGGCGGUCUUGCAAGUCAGAUGUGAAAGCCCCGGGCUUAACCUGGGAAUUGCGUUUGAAACUACAAGGCUAGAGUGCAGCAGAGGGGAGUGGAAUUCCAUGUGUAGCAGUGAAAUGCGUAGAGAUGUGGAAGAACACCGAUGGCGAAGGCAGCUCCCUGGGUUGACACUGACGCUCAUGCACGAAAGCGUGGGGAGCAAACAGGAUUAGAUACCCUAGUAGUCC